rnacentral:tRNA from 1 species
GCGGGUGUGGCGGAAUCCGGUAGACGCACCAGAUUUAGGAUCUGGCGCCGCAAGGCAUGGGGGUUCAAAUCCCUUCACCCGCACCA